GACGAACCGUGCGAACGUUGUUCGGAAUCACUGGGCUUAAAGCGUGUGUAGGCGGGUCGUUAAGUACCUUGUGAAAUCCCACAGCUCAACUGUGGAACUGCUCGGUAUACUGGCGGUCUUGAGCAACCUAGGGGCGAGCGGAACAAAUGGUGGAGCGGUGAAAUGCGUAGAUAUCAUGUGGAACGCCAAUGGUGAAAACAGCUCGCUGGGGGUUUGCUGACGCUGAGACACGAAAGCCAGGGGAGCAAACGGG
rnacentral:rRNA from 1 species